UUUGUAUUACGUGCGGAAAUUGUUACCAUUAUAUUUUUGAGCCGAAAAUGGUAACAAUUUCCGCACGUAAUACAAA